rnacentral:rRNA from 1 species
UUAAAUUGAAGAGUUUGAUCAUGGCUCAGAUUGAACGCUGGCGGCAGGCCUAACACAUGCAAGUCGAGCGGAAACGACUUAACUGAACCUUCGGGGAACGUUAAGGGCGUCGAGCGGCGGACGGGUGAGUAAUGCCUGGGAAUAUGCCUUAGUGUGGGGGAUAACUAUUGGAAACGAUAGCUAAUACCGCAUAAUGUCUUCGGACCAAAGAGGGGGACCUUCGGGCCUCUCGCGCUAAGAUUAGCCCAGGUGAGAUUAGCUAGUUGGUGAGGUAAUGGCUCACCAAGGCGACGAUCCCUAGCUGGUCUGAGAGGAUGAUCAGCCACACUGGAACUGAGACACGGUCCAGACUCCUACGGGAGGCAGCAGUGGGGAAUAUUGCACAAUGGGCGAAAGCCUGAUGCAGCCAUGCCGCGUGUAUGAAGAAGGCCUUCGGGUUGUAAAGUACUUUCAGUAGGGAGGAAGGUGUUGUAGUUAAUAGCUGCAGCAUUUGACGUUACCUACAGAAGAAGCACCGGCUAACUCCGUGCCAGCAGCCGCGGUAAUACGGAGGGUGCGAGCGUUAAUCGGAAUUACUGGG